CAGCUACACAAUCGGCUAGGCUCAUCAUCCUAGCCAUCACAUCAGGUAAUUAUAUUACUAAAUCUUUUUAUUUUUUUAAGUUUUCAUAGAUUUGAGUUCUAGAAAGGGAUCUAAAGAUUAAAAAUUUAAUCUAACUAUUUAAUUGAUGGAUCAAAAUGUUUAGAGCUCCGUAUCAUCAAAUGAAAUGUGUAGAAAUAAUAUAUUUAAGAAUC
rnacentral:lncRNA from 1 species